UACCAAGUGUUGCCAAAGAUGUGAAGAACAAGGGAACUCCUGUGCACUGUUAAUGGAAUGUAAAUUGGUGCAGCCACUAUGAAAAACACUAUGGAGAUUCCACAAAAAACUGAAAAUAGAAUUACCACAGG